rnacentral:rRNA from 1 species
GGAGGGCGCAAGCGUUGUUCGGAAUCACUGGGCGUAAAGCGCGUGCAGGCGGCUUGGUAAGUCGGGUGUGAAAUCCCGGAGCUCAACUCCGGAACUGCACCCGAUACUGCCUCGCUAGAGUCCCGGAGAGGAUGGCGGAAUUUCCGGUGUAGAGGUGAAAUUCGUAGAUAUCGGAAGGAACACCAGCGGCGAAGGCGGUCAUCUGGACGGUGACUGACGCUCAGACGCGAAAGCGUGGGGAGCAAACAGGAUUAGAUACCCUGGUAGUCCACGCUGUAAACGUUGGGUGCUAGGCGUCGUGGGUAUUGACCCCCGCGGUGCCGAAGCUAACGCAUUAAGCACCCCGCCUGGGGAGUACGGUCGCAAGACUA